rnacentral:rRNA from 1 species
GAUGAACGCUGGCGGCGUGCCUAAUACAUGCAAGUCGAGCGAACAGACGAGGAGCUUGCUCCUCUGACGUUAGCGGCGGACGGGUGAGUAACACGUGGAUAACCUACCUAUAAGACUGGGAUAACUUCGGGAAACCGGAGCUAAUACCGGAUAAUAUAGUGGACCGCAUGGUUCAAUAGUGAAAGACGGUUUUGCUGUCAAUUAUAGAUGGAUCCGCGCCGCAUUAGCUAGUUGGUAAGGUAAAGGCUUACCAAGGCAACGAUGCGUAGCCGACCUGAGAGGGUGACCGGCCACACUGGAACUGAGACACGGUCCAGACUCCUACGGGAGGCAGCAGUAGGGAAUCUUCCGCAAUGGGCGAAAGCCUGACGGAGCAACGCCGCGUGAGUGAUGAAGGUCUUCGGAUCGUAAAACUCUGUUAUUAGGGAAGAACAAAUGUGUAAGUAACUAUGCACGUCUUGACGGUACCUAAUCAGAAAGCCACGGCUAACUACGUG